GGAGGGGAGGAGGAGGAGGUCGGAGUCAGAGAGGAAGCAGAGGGAGAGGGAGAUGGCAGAGGUGAGGAGGGAGAGGACAGGCGGGAGGUCCUCUGCAGUGAAGGGGGACUAAGAGAGGGCCUACUCUUCUUCCUAGAGGUGGAGGUGGCGGAGGAGAGGCCUCGACCGAUGAUGGUGGCGGGGAGGGCGGACUCGACCGGUAGUACACAGUGGAGACCAAAAGGGAGAGAAAGAAACAGGACGGUGCAUGGAGGAGAGGGUGGU
rnacentral:lncRNA from 1 species